GGAAAGAGGAGUCUCUGUGGCUCACGUGCCAGGAGGACUUUGGGGGCUCACAGCUGCAGGGACCUUCCUGCCUCAUUAUUCAUCAUAUCUUUGUUCAUUGUGACUCUCAGAAAUUUGUCCACAAAAGCUAUGAGGACUUACUUCUUAGUAUGAAGCAUUUCCCUUUGGUCAUCAACCAAGAGGACAGAACAGUUUAGUGACUCAUGUUGCUCAGAUUUCAAAGGACUUCAGAGGCCUUGUUACAAAAUGAGCAGGUGGAGGAGAAGGAAAGAGUCAGAAAGAAGAAGUAAUAUCCUGGCUCCUGGUAUUGUAUUUGUGCACAUAAUCCCUUCACAAUCAUGCUUAGCACUCUGGUGGCACCUUCCCUCCAAGGAACUCAAAGGCCUUUACAAACAUUAAUUAGUUCUCACAGCACCCCUGUGAAAUGGUCCCCUGGAGCUGGCCAGUUGAGUGCCUGGCAAAGGAAACAGAAAAGAAGGAUGUGAAGUGCGGUGUCUGGGAAGUUUGGUGGACCAGCGAGCGGCGGGCGGUGCGAAGACCCUCCUCACUCUCCACCUCCACUGAUGCACCAGGGAAGGAGAGGGGGUAAGGGCGUGAGGACCUUCUCUUCCCUGAGACCAGAAGAGAAACCUCACACGGGUGACCAUGCCAGACAACUUCCGUCCAGAGUGAUGGACGGAUUCCUGUGAUUCGGAGCUACUGGGCCAUUUCCAGGGCUGGUGGGCUCCGUGAACUUUAACCCACCCUAAGAGGUGAAGAAGACAAGUUACCCCCAGAAGACACUGGAAAAAUCCUUCGGAUUUAGUACAGUCUCCUUCUGUGCUGAAACUUCACUGUAAUACUUUUUCACCAAACUUUUAUAAGAAAAGCUACAAAAAAUCUUAACAUUUUACAAAAUUUGGGUCUUCAUGACUUACAAAAUGUUUGAAAAUGUAGUUAGUAUGUCUAUAUCUCCUUGAAUGAUUCCAAGUCCUAGCUUUUCCUAGACAUUUUGUUACUAAAAUGGGAGCUAUGUGGAGGAAUAAAGUGGCAAAUUGUGAAAGGCGAACCCCGGAGACAGAGGACCAGGUUUCUCUUGAUGGAACCUGAGAAAGCUUAGUAGGAGCAGCUGAAAUGGCUUACCCUUAUGCUUUAACACUCAGCCAAUAGACUCUUUCGCUCUCAAUCACCCCCAUCAAGCUUUCUAAGGAAUUCCUACUGAGAAGUUAUAUGGAGGAGGCAAAGAACAAAAGCCCACAUUGUUUUGUGGAAAUAUGCAAAUAAAAAGGAUUUUUUAAU